rnacentral:lncRNA from 1 species
UUGAAACUGCUCACCCCACAAUCAGCUGAGCUCACAUGUGCAGGGGAUGGGGCCCUGUGGCUUCCCCUUCCACCUCCCCACUACACUGAGGUCCACAUCAACCCUACAAAGUUCAACACUUGUGUAUGCUACCCAUGGUGGAGUGGGCAGCACUCCUGGAAGCAGCCAAGACUCUGGACCUGCUCGAGGUUUCCAAAGGGCUGAUUCAGGGGUAUGAGCAUUAUGAGAAAUUUCCAAGGGAGAUGCACCACAUGCUGCUCGAGCUGGAUGUGUUAGAGGACACCUUGCAAUGCGCAGAGUCUGGACAUCUGUCCCACAUCAGCCGUGGGGACCCCAACAUGCUACUGAGUGAUGAGGAAAUGAAAGU